rnacentral:lncRNA from 1 species
CUGACAGCAAGCAGUUAUGUCUUUGUAUGUGGCUGUUACAAUUUUUCUGAGUUUUUGAUAGAAAAAUUUAUUUUUCUGAGCACUAUUUGAGUUUAUUCUGUUCCCUAAGGCCUGUUUAAUUUUUUGAAAAUGAGUAUUAAUAAUAUAUACAAAAACACAUAGAGGCCAUCUAAAAGAAGGGACCUGGGUGCAAAAGAAGGGACCUCAUGUAUAAUCCUGAUGUUUGGCCAUGAUUUUGGUUUACAAGUAGGUCUUCCAUUAUCUGAUUAAAAAUUUUCCUCAACAAAUCGAUGGAUGUAUACAGUUCCAGGGCAGUACAUUUAUCCUUUGUUGUAAUUUUACGGAUUUUGGUGGUUUGGUUUGCUUGUGUUUAAAUAGAAUUAAAACACACUAUUUCUGGCGCAUUCGCCAUUUAUUCAAAAAACCGAUUCAUCCACAUAUCAUUUCUGGCUUUUCUAGAAUUUUUUUCAAUGAAUUUUCCUGAGUAAUAUCGACUCCAGAGCAUCAUAGCUAGCCUCCUCUAAGAGGAGGAGACCCGGGUCACCCCCUAACCCUGAUGUUCGGCCAUCGAUGACCUAUGUAGCAUGCAUAGGUACCCAAGGGAGUCACCACCCUCUGGUUUACGAGCUAGGUGUUCUAACGCUAGAGGCUUCGGCCGGAUACGACCUGGCACCCAAGCUACGAGACUUCUUCGUGCACGUAUCCCGUGACGUUUCGACAGUAGAGGGGGCGGGAUAUCAGACACGUUGAAGAUGACGAGCGGGGUCCGCCUGUAGGGGGUCCCGGUGGAUGUCCGCUCGAUGGGUGACGAGGGUGACCCGAGACGAGGCUGCUUAGCUGGGAUGGGAACUGACGUAAUCGUCGGACAAGGGUUAAAUCUGAUGAAGGGAGGCGAACUUAGAUGCUCUGGAUGAUUUUUCUUUUUGUGUUUGAUGUCAAAUGAAUUUUCCAUUUCUUAUUGCUCACAUUACCUCUAUUUCACUAUUUUUGUAUCCCAUAUUUUUUUUUAUUGGAAUAUCAUCAUUCAUCAAUUCUAUAAACCCUUUUAAUAAUUGUCUUAUAUAUUUGUAUUUUUUUUAUCAUUCCUCUGACACUUUUCUAUGAUAUAUUUUAUCAUUUCUAUGUAUAGAGUUAUAGCAUUUUAUUCAUUUUCAUUCCCAUUUUUUACCAAUUUAUACCCCAUUUUCAUGCCAUUUUUUUCCAUAUUUUUUUACUUAUGGAAAUGUCAUCGUUCAUCAAUGCUAUAAACUCUUCCAUUGUUUGUUCUUCUAAAUCAUAUUUAUAUAAUUGUAUAAUCUUUUUUGUCAUUCUUCUGAGACUUUUAUAAGUUCAUCACACAUUUUCAUACCAUUUUUUCCAAUUCUACGUACCACUGUUUCUUUGUGUCUCAUAUUUUCUCCAUUCCUUGAAAUCUAUUAAUUUAUGUAUAUCUGAGUUAUCAGUCAUCAUUUACUUGUAUCAUUUAUUUUUGUAUUGUGCCAUUCUAUGUCAUUACUUGUCCAAGGCAUUUUAUUUCUAUUAUCUCUAUAGAGAAUUCAUCAUACCCCAUACAGAGUAAAACUUAAUUAAAUGUAAUUUAUUGUAUCUCAUCUAUAUUGAAUAUAUUUGAAAAUCUCUUCUUUUAUUUGUGUUAUUGUUUAUUUUACUGCUAUUCCAUCUAAGACCUGCAAGUCUUUGAUUUAAUUUCUAUUGAAACCUACAUAGAAUUUGUAGUUUAGGAUUGAUUUUCUAAUUGAUUUUCUUUUAUCUCCGUUUUUUCCUUUUCCUUUUAAAACUGAAUGUUUGAUUGGGAUCUUGUACUGCUUUGGAACAAGGAUUUUUGGACAAGGACAGCUGGCACUUCAAUUCAACCACCCUCUUCUAGAUGUCAUUAGAAUGAUUAAAUUUAACAUUCAACAGUGGAUUGAGAAUGAAGUUUAUCAUUGAAGAGGAAGAUAAAUAAUUUUAGAACCAAGGCUUUCCAGAAGUGUAGCAGAAGAUUUAUUAACUUCCACAUAGACAUCAGUAUGUCCGCCAACAACUCGGAUUUUAAUAUACUUUUACCUUUGUUAAAAUGUAAUACGUUAAAAAAUGUGAUAAGUGAUAACAAAAAAAAAAUAUUUUACUGUAGAUAUUUAUUAGUUAAUAAGUUCAAAAUAAUAUUUAUAGUUAGGAAAAAUAUUUAGUGUAAGAAUAUGUUUUAGUCUAGUUUAUAUAAUUAGAUAAGAAAAUAAAAUAUGUAAACAUAUACGGUAUAUAUGAUCGGAAAAAAAACUGCGCCCAGUUGGCUUGGAAAUGAGGAUCGAUGACAUUCUCCAUAUAAUUUUACAUAUAAAAUGACAGCGGUCUUCAUUUCAUAGCCAUCGCUGACGCCGUUUUUAUUCGAUCGUAUGGCACUACCGUGUUAACGAAAAAACCUUGAGCUGGUGUGUUGAACAAUUAAUAACACACUUGUAUCUCAAUUUUAGUUAAAGUAUUUAUCCUUAACACGGCAGUAUAUUAUACUAGUGUAAAGAAAUUCAUAUAGCGUUAUAAGUGAUAUAAAUAUACAUUUUUUUAUUAAUAAGAUCCAUAGUUUAUAACUUAUUGUGUAUAAUUAGAAUAGAGAAUAUAAAUAAAAACAUUAGAA